GCCAGCCUCCGGUUCUGGUAUGCAAAAGUCCAACUUCCCUAUGCAAUACUACCACUACAUUUUAGCUGUUGCAUAUCCUUGUCUAGGGUCUCGUCACCCGGCUUUGGAAGCUGGUGUUGAAUACUGCGCCGUGCCCGUAUAAUAAUCCACCAGCUACGUAUAUCUGUCUGUUAUAUCUAUCUAUUGCAUAUCUAAUACUGUAUCUUUCUGGUCCGAUGGUACGACCCUAAUUAACUACAACUAUCAACAACUUACGGUGGCGUAGAUGUCAAUCCUGCUCGGUAUUUGCAUGUCGCCGGCGAAAAUCGACGGCCAUUGACUUGACAGCCGUUGAUAAGUUCUCACCGGAAUGAGAAAAUUAUUUACUGGAAAAGGAGUAUUUUUUUCGUCUGUUCGUUUCAAAAAAAUUCUGCCCCUUACGCGUGUCGCCUGUUCGGCGAGCAGGCGGCUCCGGUGAUUCAUUCGUUAUCAUCGAACAGGGAAAGAAAGAAAGGCGGGCGUCGCCGUCGUCGACGCAUGAAAGGAACCGAUGCUCAAGAUUCCAGCGUCUGCAAGGCGCUUCUUCUCGAUCUUCCUUUUCCCCGCAGUAGUAGUGGUAGGUACAUGGGGAGAGCACUUGGAGCUUAUCUUUGGGAUGGAGCGCGCAUACUCUGAUGAUAACAUAAAGCAAUCAAUGAUUAACGUCGUCGUCGUCGUUGAUGCGUAUGGGUGCUUGGUUUGAUUGAGGAGCAAAGUGGGAGGCUCAGCUCAAAGGCGAAUAAUGGCGAGAUUUGGUGCCAGGCGCGCACUUGUUCGCGGAUUCUGGGGCCGUCUUUGCGUUCAUGUACCUCGUGAUCUUCUUUUGCAGAUCAUGUUGCUUCUUCUGUAUGCCGUAUAACUCCAACAUCUUCUCCUUGCUGUCUGUUCA
rnacentral:lncRNA from 1 species